CUCUCUCCAGCCGUAUGCUUCAGCCCUGAGCCAAGACUGUGUAAUCUCGGCCAAAUGUUCCUGCAAGCCACUAAAUCACCCCAGUACGAGAGCGUGGCUUCAGGACCUUAAGCAGUGCCUGGGGACCUGAAAGAGAUGAGUGACGGAGGUGGUUGCCUGGGCCCUCACAGAGGAAAGGCGACAGAGUGAGAUUCAGGAAUCUGUGAGCUGGACAGCAGCUGGAGACACGCUGGGACUGACAGCAAAGUGACAUGCCUCUGCACUUUGCUCCCUCUGUCUACAGGAUGACUGAGAGUGCCACAGGAUAAAGAGCAAGAGCCAAUGAUGGAGACUCAGACUUGUGGGGGGAGGGGGGGAAAUGGGCAUUUAUUGAAACCUUAAAAUCUGUACCCCCAUAAUAUGCCAUAAUUAAAAAAAAAAAGCAAGAGCCAGAGUGCAAACGAACACUCUACUUCCUUCAUCGAGAAAGUCUCACAAUAAAGGAGAAAAAUGUUGGCUGCAGCAAUCAGGGUCCUUACUGAUGUAGUUGGUUUGCACUCUGGGGGCAAUCUUCUUACCUUAUCACUAAUUGGAAACAAAUGUGCCAUAGGCUGUACUUUGAGAAGAAAUGUUCUAGAUCGCUGAAGCAUCCCCAAAUAACACGACUCUCCUUUGUUCCGUUCAGGUCCCUGACAAAUGUCAUGUCCUCCCUUCUAAAAUGGCUGCUUCAGUCAUUCUCUUCUUUAGUUUCCUUUGUCAUUAUUGGACUUUAUGUUAUGCAAUUACUUGUUUAAUGUGUUUCCCCCAUUACAAAGCAAGCGCAAUUAGGGUUGGAACUUUCUCUGUUUCACUCAGUCAUAUUCCCAGUGCCUAGAAAAUUGCCUGGCACAUAAGAGGUACAUCAUGAUGGAAAUGAAUGAAUGGGAAUAGAAAAAAUGAUGACUGGCUUAUUAAUGCCAAUGCCUCUGCUUUCCUUUAUUUUGUGCUCAUCUAAUAUAUCUUUGCCCUUCUCUAUUUUUAAUAGUUCAUUGUUCUUAUUUUGGGUAUAUUUCUUACAAUAGUAUCGUAUGGAUUUGGGGUUGUUCGGUUUAAUUUUUAACCAAUCUGAAAAUUUUUCACUUUAAUCAGGGAAUGUCAUCCAUUUACGUUGCCAAAAUGACAUGUUUGACUAAUGCCAAUUAUCAUACU